GCGGCUAUUUAAGGGGGCGACGCGGUCUUGCGGGGCAUCAUUCUCGCCGACGACGACGCUACGUGCCCGAGGAAUACCCGCACGGGAGAAAGAGCAAGAGCGAGCGAGAGCAAGAGCCUGCGUCUUUGUGCCAUCUGUGGGUAGACUUUAUCUGUAAACGAUGGAGAACGUCAACCUCGUUAUGACAUAUACUAUUCUCAUAGCGUUUCUAGUGGUGUUAUAUAUGUUUUUGGAAGGUCUAAUAUUCUAAGAAGAAAGUAGCCAUGUAGGGUAUUUCUCCUCCCUAUGAUUCCCUCCCUUCACCCCCCCCCCCCCCCCUAACCCUCCCUCCCCCUCCCCCUUUAGACUAUGUAGUGAUCCCUAACCUCAUUAACGUAAUUUAAGUAUUUUUUAUAUACAUUUUAAGACAUCAUCUCCAGCGUAUUUUUUUCUCACUCGCUCCAACCAAUUUUUGUUUUUUCGUUCCUUUUUUUCCCUCAAAAUCUCAUCUUAAACAGAAACUCUCCCUCUCCCUUCUCCAGCGACCGCACCCGUUCUUCUCCCUCCUCCAACACCCUUCCCCACCUCGAAGCGCCUCCCGCCUGCCUUCCCUCCCUCACAAGCAUUGUUGGAGGUUAGUGCUCCUCGCCGCCACGAUGGAGAACAAGUCCCUCGCCAGCACCUACUUCGUCCUCCUCGCCUGCCUGGCCGUGCUCUACGUCGUUCUCGAAGUGAUGUGAGCGGUGUGUCCGAAAGGGGAAGACAAAGCAAGGGAAAGAAAGUGACACACGCAAGGGAAAGGGAUAAAGGACAUAAAGAGCGAAGGGAAAAGGAAAGCUGUGAAGUUCUUUUCGGAUAAGGAGAGUUCCGGGGCGCCAUGUUUGCCGGUGAGAACAGGUCCCUCGUUUUCACGUACGGUAUCCUGUUGGCCUUCUUGGUGGUUUUGUAUCUCUUCCUUCAGGGGGCCUUCUGAAGAGCCACAGGGAGUGAGAAAGGAGUAAGACGAGAGGAUUAAAAAAGGAAUUAAGAAGGAAGUCGUGCAAACGUAAACCAAGAUGGAGAACGCCAACCUGGGCUACACGUAUGCCAUUCUGCUGACCUUCCUCGUCGUGCUGUACCUGGUCCUGGACAGCGCCUUCUUCUGAGCCGCUCCCGUGGAGAAAUACUCGCCCUUGAACGACGAUGGAGGAGAACAAGAGCAUCGCCUUCACUUACCUCAUCUUGGUGACCUUCCUGGUGGCCCUGUACGUGAUCCUCGAAGGCACCAUGUUCUAGGGCAGCCACCAUGCCCAAGGACAGCGACAGUGUGAGCCUAUUCCACAACUGCAUGGUGCUCGUCGGUCUCCUUGUGGCCCUCUAUCUGUUCGUUGAGAGUUCCGGAAGUUAACACUUGUCUUGUAAAUAGAAGAGCGACGUCGGACCACGACCAAGGAUAAGGGAGGUUUCGUUAUGCCAGUUGUCGAGGGUCAGAGUCUGUUCUCCGCUUCCCUUAUCUGGAUGGCUUUCCUGACUGCUUUUUACAUCUCGUCCGAGGCCUAGCCCUUCUAAAUAUACGUGUGUAAGAAAUAAGAACAAGCACCAACAAGAGAGUACGUCGAAUCUCUUUCCAAAGAUCGUGCAUCAUCUGCCUGGCAUGGCCGCCGUCGAAAGGCAGCUGUUUGGUUGUACGUACGCCGUGCUGCUGUGCUUCCUCCUGGUGGUGUAUACCGUAUUCCAGUCUUAGACCCACACCGUUACCGCCCAUAGGCCUAGAAGGACGCCGAAACCCGCUUUAAGAAGCGCGGCGUUCUUUUGGGCUUCGGAGAAACCCCGAGCUUCAUCCUCAAUACGCUGGAGAAACCCUCGCCCUCAACCUCGCCUCUCUCACAACCCUUCACACACCCUGUCACAACUCCUCCCUUUGAGAAGGUAAUAUAUAUCAAGCAAGCGCUGUUGCUCACUUCCGUUCGCAACCGUUGGCAGACAUUACUCAUAGUGCUCUCCUGACCAACGUCACGGGCAAGGUGUGGAUAGCGAAUCGGGGACGUCGGCCUCCUCCUGCACACGCUAAGAAAGGUCGCUUUUCCUUUGUCUGGUCAAGAAGCUCACUCGCGAUUUCGACUAAAAGCAGGUCCUGCAUCUGAUAUUUUAAGCAAGUUUAAAAACUGACGGUCCUCGAAAACUCAAGAUGGACCUGUAUCUCCUGUCGCCGCCCUUCCUCAGGAAGAUGAUCCGACGGCCGUCCUCUGCAGGCCAGGAAGCGACUUCUCUGCCCCAGGAGGACGUGCUGGCCGUAGCGGAGGGGCCUCAGCCGUUCUCAGAGGGCCCUCUCGGCGGGGAUUUCGAAGGAAACGUCGACAAGGCGGGGGCGCGGCGCGAGCGGCGGCGGUCCAGCCUCGACCGGAUGCUGCGCCAGCACGCCUACAUCAUCAUCUGUGCCCUCUGCUAUGCCUGCAACACGCUGCCGUCACACAUGACAUGAACUUCAGCAGCGAGAAGCCCCCGCGCACCCCUUACCCCCGUCGGGAGAGGGAGGGGGCCUUCUAAGCCUUGCACUUGUCCGAUUGCGUUCAGGAUAGGGCCCUCGUGUGACCCCCUCCCCGCCCUAUCGAGGGGCAGUGUCCCACGAGUCGAGGGCGAAACUAAAAGACCAGCAAACGACACUCUCUGCUGUCCCUAAGCCUGGCUGUCAUAGAGAGUAGUUCCGUCGCAUUAGAGUCUUGAAAGAACAUCUCUCAAAGAGCUAAAACAAAAAACAAAAACAAAAUAGAUAUAAAAAUGUACUUAGUUGUAGAUCGCUCAGUUUUUGGUCAGUUAAGUAGUUUGAUCGAAGGUGUCUGGUUGUAACAACGGUAGCUAUAGC
rnacentral:lncRNA from 1 species